AGUGAACGCUGGCGGUAGGCCUAACACAUGCAAGUCGAACGGCAGCACAGUAAGAGCUUGCUCUUACGGGUGGCGAGUGGCGGACGGGUGAGGAAUACAUCGGAAUCUACUUUUUCGUGGGGGAUAACGUAGGGAAACUUACGCUAAUACCGUAUACGACCUACGGGUGAAAGCAGGGGAUCUUCGGACCUUGCGCGAUUGAAUGAGCCGAUGUCGGAUUAGCUAGUUGGCGGGGUAAAGGCCCACCAAGGCGACGAUCCGUAGCUGGUCUGAGAGGAUGAUCAGCCACACUGGAACUGAGACACGGUCCAGACUCCUACGGGAGGCAGCAGUGGGGAAUAUUGGACAAUGGGCGCAGGCCUGAUCCAGCCAUACCGCGUGGGUGAAGAAGGCCUUCGGGUUGUAAAGCCCUUUUGUUGGGAAAGAAAAGCAGCAGGUUAAUACCCCGCUGUUCUGACGGUACCCAAAGAAUAAGCACCGGCUAACUUCGUG
rnacentral:rRNA from 1 species